rnacentral:rRNA from 1 species
AACGCGAAGAACCUUACCCAGGCUUGAACUGCAGAUGACAUCCUACGAAAGUAGGCUUCCGCAAGGACGUCUGUAGAGGUGCUGCAUGGCUGUCGUCAGCUCGUGUCGUGAGAUGUUGGGUUAAGUCCCGCAACGAGCGCAACCCUUGUCUUCUGUUGCCAUCAGGUUAAGCUGGGCACUCUGAAGAGACUGCCGGUGACUAACC